UACAGAGGGUGCAAACGUUGUUCGGAAUUACUGGGCGUAAAGCGAGUGUAGGCGGUUUGAUAAGUCGGAUGUGAAAGCCCCGGGCUCAACCCGGGAAGUGCACUCGAUACUGUCAAGCUAGAGUAUCGGAGAGGUUGGUGGAAUUCUCGGUGUAGAGGUGAAAUUCGUAGAUAUCGAGAGGAACACCGGUGGCGAAGGCGGCCAACUGGACGAAUACUGACGCUGAGACUCGAAAGCGUGGGGAGCAAACAGG
rnacentral:rRNA from 1 species